ACCUUCACACCCUUGUGUAUCUACCAUGUUGCUUUGGCGGGCCGACCCGGUUUUGACCCGGGCGGUCGGCGCCCCCAGCCUAGUCUCUAGGCCAGGACGCCUGGCUAAGUGCCCGCCAGUAUACAAAACUCCAGCGAUUAUUCUGUGUAGUCCUGAGAAUUCAUUUAAUGAAAUAAAACUUUCAACAACGGAUCUCUUGGUUCUGGCAUCGAUGAAGAACGCAGCGAAAUGCGAUAAGUAAUGUGAAUUGCAGAAUUCAGUGAAUCAUCGAAUCUUUGAACGCACAUUGCGCCCCCUGGCAUUCCGGGGGGCAUGCCUGUUCGAGCGUCAUUUCAACCCUCAAGCUCUGCUUGGUAUUGGGCGACGUCCGCUGCCGGACGCGCCUGGAAGACCUCGGCGACGGCGUCUCAGCCUCGAGCGUAGUAGUAAAAUAUCUCGCUUUGGAGGAGGGGGGCGCUGGCCGCCGGACAAUCGACCUUCGUCACUAUUUUUCCAAGUGACCUCGGAUCAGUAG
rnacentral:rRNA from 1 species